CCUACGGGCGACAGCAGUGAGGAAUAUUGGUCAAUGGGCGCUAGCCUGAACCAGCCAAGUAGCGUGAAGGAUGACUGCCCUACGGGUUGUAAACUUCUUUUAUAAGGGAAUAAAGUGAGGCACGUAUACCUCUUUGUAUGUACUUUAUGAAUAAGGAUCGGCUAACUCCGUGCCAGCAGCCGCGGUAAUACGGAGGAUCCGAGCGUUAUCCGGAUUUAUUGGGUUUAAAGGGAGCGUAGAUGGGUUGUUAAGUCAGUUGUGAAAGUUUGCGGCUCAACCGUAAAAUUGCAAUUGAUACUGGCAGCCUUGAGUACAGUAGAGGUAGGCGGAAUUCGUGGUGUAGCGGUGAAAUGCUUAGAUAUCACGAAGAACUCCGAUUGCGAAGGCAGCCUACUAAACUGUCACUGACACUGAUGCUCGAAAGUGUGGGUAUCAAACAGGAUUAGAUACCCGAGUAGUC
rnacentral:rRNA from 1 species